rnacentral:lncRNA from 1 species
GGAUGGCGUUUGGUAGCGUGGCGAAUCGGAUGUUGUCAGGUUUUGGGUCGGAUCCGAUGAAGCCGUGCCACUCCUCGGUGACGACGAAGGUGAUGAGGAGUGUGUUGUCGGGUUUCUUUGAGGAUAGGAGUUUGCAGAGGUUCAUCAUGGGGUUGAUGUGGCCUCUGCCGGGAUAGGGUAGCGCCACCACGUGGCAGACUGAGAUGUGGUUGUCUUUUAGUGUUCCCAUUUUCUCUCUUUUUAUGGAGAUUGAAGAUGAAGUUUGAAGAUGCUUUAUAUAGAAUAAAAUGAAGAUUGAAGAGAUGAACUCCACGAAAGACGAAAUUACCCCUCGGCCAAAACAGUGUUAUCUAUUACAAGUACCAAUCCAACGGCUCCAAAUAUACAUAUGUAUUAAUAGGUAUAUUUGAUUCCUUAUAUAAAAUAUGCAUAUUUGGUUCAUGCUUUUUCCAUGAAUGAAUAUACAUUCAUGCUUUAAGGUAUCCUAUAUAUUAUUGCGUUAUUAAUUAGAAUAGUAAAAAGUAAUAUGCGUUAUUAUUGAGGAUAAUAAAAAGUGAUAUCCUUGUUGUAUGAGAGUAGUUUCUCUUUCAAAUAGGAGGCUGAGACGGGGGCAAACCUAACAGAUCACAUCCCCCAUAUUCAUAUGCCGCCCACAUGUUCGACUAUUAACACGUUGCCCUCUUGCCAGCAAGAAAUAAUGACAAAAUUGCUUAGGUGUGAAUUAAUGAGUUUGUUUGGCAUAUUGCUGCCCACAUGUUGGACUAUUUAGGUAUAUUUGAUUCCAUCAUUAUGAUUAAUCAAGUAAUCAAAACUAAACAAUAUAGUUAUGUUUUUCAACCAAACUACAAAUCAUGAACAUAAUUAAUGGUGACCUCCUUGUGAAAUAUCCUUGAUAAACGCAUCAAGGUUGGUGUCAGAUGAGCCACCUUCAGCAAUUGCUCUAUGACAAGUCUCUUGAAGUUGUCUUGCUCUUUCCCUCAUCUCCUUCCCCUCCUUGAUUUCGAGAUCCAUAAACCUCCGCACAAGUUCAGCAAUUUCCUCUCUGGUCACCAAAUGUUCAUGUUCAGCACCCCCCACCUUCUUCUUCAAUACCCUGUAUCCAAUCUUCCAAUCCUCCACAAUUUGCUUAGCAUUGGGAACUUGGUCCCAAAAUAUAGGACAAGUGAGAAUUGGAAGACCAGCAUAAACAGCUUCCAAAAUUGAAUUCCAACCACAGUGUGACCAAAACCCCCCAAUAGAAUCAUGACACAACACCCUCAAUUGGUCACACCAAGGCACCACCAAACCCUUAUCACCAACACCAUCCUUCAACUUAGAGGCAUCCCCACGAGCAACCCACAAGAACCUAACACCACUGUUCUGCACCCCAGCAACAAUUUCAUCCAUUUGGGCUUUUGAAACUGAAAGGAAGCUUCCCAGGGAGAUGUACAGGACUGACUGUUUGGGCUGAGAAUCUAGCCAAUUUAGAUAACCGAGGCCAUCAUUGUGAUUUAUGCGUAGACUUUUAGAAAGUUCAAAGUGAGGUAUGGUUGGGCCAAUAGGGUAGACAGGCAGAGCAAAUUUGGUUUUGAACGUGUCAAAGACUUGAGGUUCAAGCUCAAGGACUGAAGUGAACAAAAGAUAUUGUGCUUUUUCUACUACUUGAGCAACAGUUUCAAUAGCUCUGUGGAGGACUUUUUGAUGAUUGUCUCCAAAGAAUACCGUGGGAAGAUCUGCAAUGCUUGUGGUGUUGAUUCCAGGGAUGUAGUCUAUUAUCUCAUCUCCACGCUCUUUCAUUUACAAAUUUGGCAAAUAGACACAGAGAAACAUAUAAAAAGAGCAAUUUCAAUAAAUAAAAUUGCAUUAUUGAGAAAACAUUAUCUGAUAAAGUGAGAAAUAAAAGAAAAAAAAGGUUUUUGAUUGCAUUCAGACUUCGUAAUUCAAAAUUAAGGAGCAGUUCAUCCUUAAAACAAAUGGACACUUGUUAAAUUUCUUUAACUUUUUCUUUUCUUGGAAUUUGACAGGCGUUAAACUCUCAUUUGUUGUGAAGAGAAGCUCCUCCUCAAUUUGAAAGAGUCAAGGCAUACUAAUAAAAAACGGUAGUAAUACGAAAUGCAUUCAUAUCACGAAUAUCGUGAUACGAAUGCAUUAACUUUUCUGUCUUGAGUUAGUUUUGCAUAUAAAUGCGAUGUAUCUGAAGAAUGACUUCUUACAUGUAAGCAGUCAAGCAGUGUAACUUUGUAAGGUGAAAAUAGGGUUGGCAUGAGAGUCGACUUUCAACAAUUAAUGCACGUGGGGUCCCAAAGUUGACGUACACCCACAUGCAUGUAGACUGUAGUAUACGAGCAUAUGCCAUAAUAACAAUCAAUUGUCAUGUCCCGAUGUAAACCUAACAAUCGACGUACCUGACAAGUCAGCAGGGAAGUGGCCCUUCUGUUUUAGCAGCUCAAAGCUAUAGAGCACCGUAAACACCGACGCCGACAUUGUCCACAGUGAAGCCACCGGAAUAUUCCUCCUGUUCCCGACCCUCACGGCCCAGUCAACAAAAGAGUCAGCAACUAUGGCGCUCACUGGAGGCGCCUCAGACUCGAGCCCAUCCAGAAGCCGCUCGAAGGGAGCUUCCAAUGCGGUGUUCACGGCCUCAAAGAAUGCCGGAAAGUCGUUAGCGCGGACCAGCUCGGAAGGGAUGACGUUUGGUAGCGUCGCGAACCGGAUGUUGUCGGGUUUCGAGUCGGAUUCGAUGAAGCCGUGCCACUCUUCCGUGACGACGAAGGUGAUGACGAGGGUGUUGUCGGGUUUCUUUGAAGACAGUGAUUUGCAGAGGUUCAUCAUGGGGUUGAUGUGUCCUCUACCGGGAUAAGGCAGGGCCACCACGUGGCAGACGAGGAUUGGCUCAAGUUUUUCUGUGGCCAUUUCUCUUGUGUGAAGAUUGAAG